UACGUAGGCAGCAAGCGUUGUUCGGAGUUACUGGGCGUAAAGAGCGCGCAGGCGGUCGUUCAAGUCGCGUGUGAAAGCCCCCGGCUCAACUGGGGAGGGUCACGCGAUACUGAUCGACUCGAAGGCAGGAGAGGGAAGUGGAAUUCCCGGUGUAGUGGUGAAAUGCGUAGAUAUCGGGAGGAACACCAGUGGCGAAGGCGACUUCCUGGCCUGUUCUUGACGCUGAGGCGCGAAAGCUAGGGGAGCAAACGGG
rnacentral:rRNA from 1 species